ensembl:lncRNA
CAUACAGUAUUUGGUACCAUGUUUGUUGAUGGACAUAGCAGCCAUGCUGUGUGCUGUGUACCAGGCUUCACAUGCGUGCCUGGAUGUUGGAAGUUGGCACAUCUUGUCAGUAUGAAAUUUUAGACAGACAAUCGCUUUAAAAACCACACCAUACAUCCCUAUUAAAUUGCUUUUGCAGCACACAUGACGCUCAAGUAAUAAAUGUACAUCACAUGCAAGUUGCUCUGAUAAACAGUUUGCCAAAAAGCUCCCCAUACACAAUAUGUAAAUAUUUUCAAUAUUUUCAUUCUAUGCAGGUGUACUUCUGUUGUGAAAAAAAAUCUUGAAUAUGCAUUGGUGUAUGUACAUAAGUAGGCAAUAUUCUAGACUACACUUAUCUUAAAAUACUUGUGUACUAUGAACUAUGAAUCAAGUAGUACCUAGUUUAUACACCAAGUAAACUGCCCUCUGUUUCUGAUUCAAAGUCAGUGUGGAGUAGACGCCAUCUUCAUUACUGUCACAACAUCUGAUUAAUUAUUUUCAAACAAAAUUGAGUACAGACAGUUGCAAUUUAAGAAAUACUCAUGAAUCAAUAUUUCUGUGUAUUAAUUUUACAAUAUGUCUUUAAUCAUCACAUACUUAACAAAUAUUUUUUGCCAGAUUAGGUCUUUAAAUAGUAGAUGGACUGCCAUAUAUGUAGUAAUGUAGCAACAUAAUAUAUUGGAAAUGUGUUAAUUACUUUGUUUCAUUUCAGGUCCAAAAAAACUUUCUGCCUUGGGCUAUAUGCCCAUAUUAUUUAUCAGCCAGAGGCACAAGGGCACAGGCAAGUUGAUGGCAGAUGUAGUCACGCAUCUGCCACCGACGCAAAACAACACACGUUUCUUAACCAGCAUGAAGAGGGCAUAUGACUUCAUAAUCAAACUGGAUGGUAAGAUAAGUUUUAUGUAUAGUUCAUUAGUGGUUGUCGUUGAUUUCUUUGACAAUGUGUACUGAAUUUAUAUUUUUGCUAACUUCACAACAGAUGUGCCCCAGCCCCAGCCCCAGCAAGACCAGCCCCUCCACCUAGACCAACCCCUACCCCAAGACCAGCCCCUGCCCCUAGACCAGCUAAUCCCACAAGACCAGCCCCUAGACCAGCCCCAGAAAGACCAGCCCCUAGACCAGCCCCAGCAAGACCAGCCCCUGCCCCUAGACCAGCUAAUCCCACAAGAUCAGCCCCUAGACCAGCCCCAGCAAGACCAGCCCCUGCCCCUAGACCAGCUAAUCCCACAAGACCAGCCUACCCCAACAGACCAGCAAAUUAUUAAACUUGAACUAUUUACGAUCGACUCACAGGCUCAGCAGCAUGUGGAGCCUCUACCACCCAGGAAAAGACAAACCCCACUAUCCACCCCGGGCCUACCAUCCACCCCAGGCCAAGGCAAACGAGCCCCACCAUCCAUCCAACCUCAACUAAAGAAAAAGACAAACCACAGGUAAAGGAGCCACACAAGCCCCACCCUCUACCCUGGCCAAAAAGAAGAAAACAAAAAGCAAGUAGACAUUCUUUGCACCCCCAUGUGUAUAUUUGUUUCUAUUCUUUGCACCCCAUGUGUAUAUCAGCAGCCAUGUGUUGGGUGUAAAUGUGUUUUUGCAUGUAGCCCCCUUUAAUUGGACCAAACUCAGGGUGUAUUCACACUUGGUCUUUUUCAGCCCUCAAAGUGAACUAAGAACAGUGACUCAUAUAUGAACACCUCAAGCAAACUCAGACCCAUUUGAAAUGAACCAAACGUUUUUUUGCCUUUGUCAUUUAAGGUUGCAAAUGCAGUCGACAGACAAUUUAUCCAUACGAUAAAAUAUUGGAAAGACGGAUGAAUGGGGUAAGAUGUAGAACCAUAUUUUUCAUUAGGCUGUCUGAUUAUCUCUUGACUCAUGUCUGUCUCAUCUUUCAAUCCACAUGUGACAAAACAGUAACACUGAGCAGUAGGUAUCAAACUUUUUCAACUAUCAACCCUCUCACAAGUGCUACCCCUUAGGAAAAAAAAGUAUACUUCAAGUUAUUUUAUGAAGUAUACUUAAGUAAUGUUCAAGUAUAUUUUUAAGUAUACUUUAUGGAGUAAGUAUACUAGUAUCAAUGUGUACUAUUUCAAUACUGCUUGGGGCUAAAUUGGC